GUGAGGAAUUUUCCGCAAUGGGCGAAAGCCUGACGGAGCAAUGCCGCGUGAAGGAUGAAGGCCUAUGGGUUGUAAACUUCUUUUCUCAGAAAAGAAUUAUGACGGUAUCUGAGGAAUAAGCAUCGGCUAACUCUGUGCCAGCAGCCGCGGUAAGACAGAGGAUGCAAGCGUUAUCCGGAAUGAUUGGGCGUAAAGCGUCUGUAGGUUGUUUAAAAAGUAUUCUGUCAAAGAUUAGGGCUUAACCCUAGAUAGGCAGAAUAAACUUUUAAGCUAGAGUUUGGUAGAGGCAGAGGGAAUUCCCGGUGGAGCGGUGAAAUGCGUAGAUAUCGGGAGGAACACCAAAGGCGAAGGCACUCUGCUGGGCCAAUACUAACACUGAGAGACGACAGCGAGGGGAGCAAAUGGGAUUAGAUACCCGUGUAGUCC
rnacentral:rRNA from 1 species